rnacentral:rRNA from 1 species
ACUCCUACGGGAGGCAGCAGUGGGGAAUAUUGCACAAUGGGCGCAAGCCUGAUGCAGCCAUGCCGCGUGUGUGAAGAAGGCCUUCGGGUUGUAAAGCACUUUCAGUUGUGAGGAAGGUGGUGUCGUUAAUAGCGGCAUCAUUUGACGUUAGCAACAGAAGAAGCACCGGCUAACUCCGUGCCAGCAGCCGCGGUAAUACGGAGGGUGCGAGCGUUAAUCGGAAUUACUGGGCGUAAAGCGCAUGCAGGUGGUUUGUUAAGUCAGAUGUGAAAGCCCGGGGCUCAACCUCGGAACUGCAUUUGAAACUGGCAGACUAGAGUACUGUAGAGGGGGGUAGAAUUUCAGGUGUAGCGGUGAAAUGCGUAGAGAUCUGAAGGAAUACCGGUGGCGAAGGCGGCCCCCUGGACAGAUACUGACACUCAGAUGCGAAAGCGUGGGGAGCAAACAGGAUUAGAUACCCUGGUAGCGUCGUC